rnacentral:rRNA from 1 species
UACGUAGGGGGCAAGCGUUGUCCGGAUUUAUUGGGCGUAAAGAGCGUGUAGGCGGCUAGGUAGGUCCGUUGUGAAAACUCGAGGCUCAACCUCGAGACGUCGAUGGAAACCAUCUAGCUAGAGUCCGGAAGAGGAGAGUGGAAUUCCUGGUGUAGCGGUGAAAUGCGCAGAUAUCAGGAGGAACACCGGUGGCGAAGGCGCCACUCUGGGCCGGUACUGACGCUGAGGAGCGAAAGCGUGGGGAGCGAACAGG